GACGAACGCUGGCGGCGUGCUUAACACAUGCAAGUCGAACGGAAAGGCCUUUUCGGAGGUACUCGAGUGGCGAACGGGUGAGUAACACGUGGGUGAUCUGCCCUGCACUCUGGGAUAAGCCUGGGAAACUGGGUCUAAUACCGGAUAGGACCGCACUUUAGUGUGUGUGGUGGAAAGUUUUUUCGGUGUAGGAUGAGCCCGCGGCCUAUCAGCUUGUUGGUGGGGUAAUGGCCUACCAAGGCGGCGACGGGUAGCCGGACUGAGAGGUUGGUCGGCCACAUUGGGACUGAGAUACGGCCCAGACUCCUACGGGAGGCAGCAGUGGGGAAGAUUGCACAAUGGGCGCAAGCCUGAUGCAGCGACGCCGCGGGGGGGAUGACGGCCUUCGGGUUGUAAACGCCUUUCGCCAGGGACGAAGCGUUUUGUGACGGUACCUGGAGAAGAAGCACCGGCUAACUACGUG
rnacentral:rRNA from 1 species